GACGAACGCUGGCGGCGUGCCUAAUACAUGCAAGUAGAACGCUGAAAGAGGAGCUUGCUUCUCUGGAUGAGUUGCGAAGGGGUGAGUAACGCGUAGGUAACCUGCCUGGUAGCGGCGGAGAACUAUUGGAAACGAUAGCUAAUACCGCAUAAGAGUAGAUGUUGCAUGACAUUUGCUUAAAAUGUGCACUUGCAUCACUACCAGAUGGACCUGCGUUGUAUUAGCUAGUUGGUGGGGUAACGGCUCACCAACGCGACGAUACAUAGCCGGCCCGAGAGGGUGGAUGGGCACACUGGGAACGGGACACCGCCCAGGCUCCCACGGGGGGGAGCAGUAGGGGAUCUUUGGCAAUGGACGGAAGUCUGACCGAGGAAAGCCGGGGGAGGUAAGGAGGGUUUCCGGUCGUAAAACUCUGUUGUAAGGGAAGGACGAGUGGGAGAGUGGAAAGUGCACGCUGUGACGGUACCUAACCAGAAAGAGACGGCUAACUACGUG
rnacentral:rRNA from 1 species